AUCACCUCUCGGCCUUUUGGCUAAGAUCAAGGGUAGUACCUGUUCUUAUCAGUGUAAUAUCUGAUACGUUCUCUAUCUGAGGACAAUAUAUUAAAUGGAGUUUUGGAAUUAGAAAAUGGAAUAGGAGCUCAGCGCUCCAUCCACCCCACACAUGGACCUGGUGUUGCAGUACUUCCAGGAACGGUGCACCCCAC
rnacentral:snRNA from 1 species